rnacentral:rRNA from 1 species
CUUAAAGAGUCCUGAAGGAACGUUGAAGACGACGACGUUGAUAGGCCGGGUGUGUAAGCGCAGCGAUGCGUUGAGCUAACCGGUACUAAUGAACCGUGAGGCUUAACCUU